rnacentral:misc_RNA from 1 species
UUGCCUCGGUGUGGCGCAACGGUGAAACACCGUGCACUGGCAGCUGAAGAUGGGGGAGCCCGUCAGAGGUGUGCUGCCGGCAUUAAAUUGGAUGCUGCACUUAAAUCGGUGGGAAUCAGUGUUGCACCGCCCGCCGGGCCUCAAAGGCACAUCUCUCAUCUUCG